GGCGAGCGUGUGUAUAUAGCACCACCUUGAACUCCAGGAGAGGUGGCAGGCAUUUUAUUUUAGAAUAUGAAUUUGGGGUGGGGUACAGAAGGGACCUUGCCAGUACCUGUCUCUCACAGUCAUGUCACCUCCUCCCCCACCUCCUCCAGUACCGCCUGGUGCCCAUCCCCCGGGCUCGCUAUGACUUCGCCUGUGCCAGCCUUGUCUUCGUCUGCAUCCUGCUUGUCCACCUCCUAGUGAUGCCCAGGUCAGCCUGUGACGGGGUAGAUGGCUAAGCCCCCUUGGGUUACACGGUGACUAUGCUAGGACCCAGCAAAACUGGCAAGGUGCUUCGUAGCUAACAGGGACUUCAGCUGUGGGUCCCUCACCACUGGAGCAGAGGGAUGGCCCCAGCGUUGGGGUUUCUGGCCUUUCC
rnacentral:lncRNA from 1 species